CACAGGCACACAUCUAUCAAAGAUCCUACUGU
rnacentral:piRNA from 1 species